AUUGAACGCUGGCGGCAGGCUUAACACAUGCAAGUCGAGCGGGGUGAUGGUGCUUGCACUAUCACUUAGCGGCGGACGGGUGAGUAGUGCUUAGGAAUCUGCCUAUUAGUGGGGGACAACAUCUCGAAAGGGAUGCUAAUACCGCAUACGUCCUACGGGAGAAAGCAGGGGAUCUUCGGACCUUGCGCUAAUAGAUGAGCCUAAGUCAGAUUAGCUAGUUGGUGGGGUAAAGGCCUACCAAGGCGACGAUCUGUAGCGGGUCUGAGAGGAUGAUCCGCGACACUGGGACUGAGACACGGCCCAGACUCCUACGGGAGGCAGCAGUGGGGAAUAUUGGACAAUGGGCGAAAGCCUGAUCCAGCCAUGCCGCGUGUGUGAAGAAGGCCUUUUGGUUGUAAAGCACUUUAAGCGAGGAGGAGGCUACUUGGAUUAAUACUCUAGGAUAGUGGACGUUACUCGCAGAAUAAGCACCGGCUAACUUCGUGCCAGCCGCCGCCGUAA
rnacentral:rRNA from 1 species